rnacentral:rRNA from 1 species
GACGAACGCUGGCGGCGUGCUUAACACAUGCAAGUCGAACGGAAAGGCCCUGCUUUUGUGGGGUGCUCGAGUGGCGAACGGGUGAGUAACACGUGAGUAACCUGCCCUUGACUUUGGGAUAACUUCAGGAAACUGGGGCUAAUACCGGAUAGGAGCUCCUGCUGCAUGGUGGGGGUUGGAAAGUUUCGGCGGUUGGGGAUGGACUCGCGGCUUAUCAGCUUGUUGGUGGGGUAGUGGCUUACCAAGGCUUUGACGGGUAGCCGGCCUGAGAGGGUGACCGGCCACAUUGGGACUGAGAUACGGCCCAGACUCCUACGCGAGGCAGCAGUGGGGAAUAUUGCACAAUGGUCGGAAGCCUGAUGCAGCAACGCCGCGUGCGGGAUGACGGCCUUCGGGUUGUAAACCGCUUUCGCCUGUGACGAAGCGUGAGUGACGGUAAUGGGUAAAGAAGCACCGGCUAACUACGUG